rnacentral:rRNA from 1 species
CCUACGGGUGGCAGCAGUGAGGAAUAUUGGUCAAUGGACGAGAGUCUGAACCAGCCAAGUAGCGUGAAGGAUGACUGCCCUAUGGGUUGUAAACUUCUUUUAUAUGGGAAUAAAAUGUUCCACGUGUGGGAUUUUGUAUGUAACAUAUGAAUAAGGAUCGGCUAACUCCGUGCCAGCAGCCGCGGUAAUACGGAGGAUCCGAGCGUUAUCCGGAUUUAUUGGGUUUAAAGGGAGCGUAGGUGGAUUGUUAAGUCAGUUGUGAAAGUUUGCGGCUCAACCGUAAAAUUGCAGUUGAAACUGGCAGUCUUGAGUACAGUAGAGGUGGGCGGAAUUCGUGGUGUAGCGGUGAAAUGCUUAGAUAUCACGAAGAACUCCGAUUGCGAAGGCAGUUCACUGGACUGCAACUGACACUGAGGCUCGAAAGUGUGGGUAUCAAACAGGAUUAGAUACCCGAGUAGUC